rnacentral:rRNA from 1 species
ACGCUCGACACCUACGGGAGCAGCAGUGGGGAUAUUGCGCAAUGGGGGAAACCCUGACGCAGCAACCGCCGCCGUGAAGGAACGGAAAGGGUUUUACGGAUUUGGUUAAACUUUCUUUUAGUUUAGGGACGAAGAAAGUGACGGGUAACCUAGACGAAGUAACGCGUCCGGACUAAACGUACGUCGCAAAGCGAGCCGACGGUAAUCUGAGGCGGCUGGCGAAGGCNGNNG